ACACCUGGAUAUAGCUGGGGUACAUCUGGAUACACCUGGGGUACACCUGGGCACACCUGGAUACACCUGGGCACACCUGGGGGCACCUGGGCGCACCUGGGGUACACCUGGGGUACAUCUGGAUAUACCUGGGGUACACCUGGACACACCUGGGGCACACCUGGAUGCACCUGGGGCACAGCUGAGUACACCUGGAUAUAUCUGGGGUGCACCUGGAUACACCUGGGGCACACCUGGGCACAGCUGAAUAUACCUGGGCACAGCUGGAUACACCUGGGGCACACCUGGGUGCACUUGGGGCACACCUGGGUGUAUCUGGAUAUACCUGGGGUACACCUGGACACACCUGGGGGCACCUGGGGUACACCUGGGGCACACCUGGAUAUAGCUGGAGUACAUCUGGAUACACCUGGGGUACACCUGGGCACAACUGGGGGCACCUCUGGAUACACCUGGGCACACCUGAGGGCACCUGGGCACACCUGGGGUACACCUGGGUGCACUUGGGGUAUACCUGGGUGCACCUGGAUACACCUGGGGGCACCUGGACACACCUGGACACACCUGGAUGCACCUGGAGCACACGUGAGAUACAUCUGGGUACACCUGGGCACAACAGGAUACAUGUUGGGCACACCUGGGGUACACCUGGAUAUACCUGGGGGCACAUGAGGCUCCUCUGGGUACACCUGGGCACAGCUGGAUACACCUGGGCACACCUGAAUAUACCUGGGGUACACCUGGGGCACACCUGGAUACAUCUGGGCACAGCUGGAUACACUUGGGGUUUCACCUGGGUACACCUGGAUAUACCUGGGCACACGUUGGGUAUACGUGGGGCACACCUGGACACACCUCGGGUACACCUGAGCGCAGCUGGAUACACCUGGGUUACUCGGGGACGCACCUGGGGGAAGGUGGAGGUGUCUGGGGCACACCUGGGCACACCUGGAUACACUUGGGCACACGUGGGGCACAGCUGGGCACAGCUGGGGCACUUGUGGAUACACCUAGGUACACCUGGGGCACACCUGGAUACACCUGGGCACAGCUGGAUAUACCUUGGGCACGCCUGGGGGAAGGUGGGAAGUGUCUUGGACACACCUGGGCACACCUGUGACACACCUGUGACACACCUGAGCCCCGCCCCGCCCUCACUUCUGUCCGUCUGUCCCUGCAGACCAGAAAGAUGGCGGAUACCGCAAGGGCGACGGGUACCUGCGGCGCGGCGGCUUCCGGCAGGAGCGCAGCAACUACUGAGCCUCACCUGGGCCAUGGCGGGACCCUCACCUGCCCCACGGAGGCCUUACCUGCCCCACAGAGGCCUUACCUGCCCCAUAAAUCCCUCACUUGCCCCAUGGAUCCCUCACCUACCCCAUAAAUCCCUCACCUGUUCCAUCAAGGGUCCCGCUGUUGAAAAUUAAUAAAGGAAUUAUUAAAGACGGCGUUAACGAGGUGUUAAUUAAUGUGGUAAUGAAGAGCGGGGUCAGGGCUGCCCCACAGAUCCUCGCUCUGGCCCAUAAGUGACCCCCAAAGCUUCUCCCCCUCACGUUUUCCCGCCUUUUUGCUUCCCCUCACGUUUUCCCGCCUUUUUUCGUCCCCUCACGUUUUCCCGCCUUUUUUUCCCCCCCACGUUUUCCCGCCUUUUUUUCCCUCUCACGUUUUCCUGCCUUUUUUUUCUUCUCACAUUUUCCCACCUUUUUUACCCCCUCAUCUUUUCCUGCCUUUUUUACCUCCUUAUUUUUUUGCCUUUUUUUUUCUCCCCUCACGUUUUCCCGCCUUUUUUCUCUUCCCCUCACGUUUUCUUGCUUUUUCUCCCAUCAUGGCUUCCCUUCCCCCCAUCAUUUUAUGAUUCCUUUUCAUGGUUUUUCUUCGCUCUGUUCCCUCAUGGCCACCCCUUUUCUCAUUUUCUUCAUCCUUUCCCUUCGUGGCUUUCCACAAUUUUCUCCUCUCAGAGAUCUGGCCAUUUUUUUCUGUUUUCCACCUCUUUGUUCUCUCACAAUUUCCUACUUUUUUAUUCUUUUAUGGCUGUCUCAUUUCCCUGUUCCCUCAUGGCUCCCAUCAUUUUCUCCCUUCACAGUUUUUUACCAUUUUCUCCCUUUGUCCCCUCACAAUUUCCCACCAUUUUUUCCUGUCAUGGCUGCCCCACUACCACGUUCCCUCAUGGCUUCCCUUCUGUCUCUCCCGUCACACUUUACCUCCAUUUUAUCUUCUCACAAUUUCCUGCCAUUUUCUCCCUUCACGGCUUCCCUUCUUGUCCCUUCACAAUUUCCCAUUUUCUCCCCUCAUGGCUUCCCUUUCUCCUUGUUCUCUCACAAUUUCCCACCAUUUUGUUGCUUCACAGUUUUCCACCAUUUUCAUGGCCACCCCAUCUUCUUGUCCCAUCAUGGUUUCCCAUUAUUUUCUCCCUUCAUGGCUUCCUUU
rnacentral:lncRNA from 1 species